GAUUCCUCUUCUCUCCCUCUGUCAGGAUCUGUUCUUCAUUUCUUCCUGUCUGCUCUAGUUUUCUUUAAAACAGGAAGAAAUGAAGAACAGAUCCUGACAGAGGGAGAGACAAGGAAUC